rnacentral:ncRNA from 1 species
AUCGAAACGUUGAUCAGGAGUAGUAAUGACGGUUUUCUGUCGUAGAGAGUUGACGGGUGGUGAAAGUCAACCAGAAGCAUCAUGAACUCGCCUGCUGAGUUGCAAGUGUGAAGUAACAGUAAGACUUGCCGUUUUCCGCGUUAAGGAUGAAUGAAGCUGAGUGCGCGUACACUAAUGUGGGUGGUACCGCGGGAGAAUGUACAUACAGACUCUCGUCCCAAAU